AUUCCAGCUCCAAUAGCGUAUAUUAAAGUUGUUGCGGUUAAAAAGCUCGUAGUUGGAUUUCUGCUAGGGACGAUCGGUCCACCCACUGGGUGUGUAUCUGUGUCGGCCUUGGCAUCUUCCUGGCGAACGCAACUGCACUUGACUGUGUGGUGCGGUAUCCAGGACUUUUACUUUGAGGAAAUUAGAGUGUUUCAAGCAGGCGCACGCCUUGAAUACAUUAGCAUGGAAUAAUAAGAUAGGACCUGAGUUCUAUUUUGUUGGUUUCUAGAGCUGAGGUAAUGAUUAAUAGGGACAGUUGGGGGUAUUCGUAUUCAAUUGUCAGAGGAGAAAUUCUUGGAUUUAUUGAAGACGAACUACUGCGAAAGCAUUUACCAAGGAUGUUUUCAUCA
rnacentral:rRNA from 1 species